AUACGUAGGUGGCAAGCGUUGUCCGGAUUUACUGGGUGUAAAGGGCGUGUAGGCGGAGAUGCAAGUCAGGAGUGAAAUCUAGGGGCUCAACCCCUAAACUGCUUUUGAAACUGUAUCCCUUGAGUAUCGGAGAGGCAGGCGGAAUUCCUAGUGUAGCGGUGAAAUGCGUGGAUAUUAGGAGGAACACCAGUGGCGAAGGCGGCCUGCUGGACGACAACUGGCGCUGGGGCGCGAAAGCGUGGGGAGCAAACAGGAUGAGAUUCCCUGGUAGUCCACGCUGUAAACGAUGAAUACUAGGUGUGGGGGGACUGACCCCCUCCGUGCCGCAGUUAACACAAUAAGUAUUCCACCGGGGGAGUACGAUCGCAAGAUUGAAACUCAAAUGAAUUGACGGGG
rnacentral:rRNA from 1 species